UACGUAGGGUGCAAGCGUUAAUCGGAAUUACUGGGCGUAAAGCGUGCGCAGGCGGCUUUGCAAGACAGAUGUGAAAUCCCCGGGCUUAACCUGGGAACUGCAUUGGUGACUGCAUUGCUGGAGUAUGGCAGAGGGGGGUGGAAUUCCACGUGUAGCAGUGAAAUGCGUAGAGAUGUGGAGGAACACCGAUGGCGAAGGCAGCCCCCUGGGAUAACACUGACGCUCAUGCACGAAAGCGUGGGGAGCAAACAGG
rnacentral:rRNA from 1 species